rnacentral:lncRNA from 1 species
CGCAAAACCCCAAAAGAGACACCCCCCCCCCCCCGAACUUUUUCUUCUUGAUCAUUAGAACAAAAAAGACCCAUCUUCUUCUACACUCCAAGAAUAGAAGCAGCGGCGACCCCUGAUCUCUUCAACAACACCAAAAUCUCCGCCGUCCACCCCCAUUUUCAGAAGAGAAAGAGAAACAACAGUUGUUCCUUUUCUUCUCCAAGACCCAACGGCAGGAACAACCACCAGACCACCUGAAAGUGGCCACCAAAUCUCCAUCUCCAAAAAUCCUGCCGCCACUCACCUGACUUUCGGGACUGCGAAAUUCACCCACAAAGCACAUCAAAUAGCAUGAAGCAGCUCCAAAUUUCUAGUCACUGUCACAGAGUCAAUUGAUUUUAUUAUUUUGAUUUAAUUCGAGUUUUCCGGCGAUCUCCAAAGCUCGAGGAACCCAUUUUUGUAGAUCUUCACUUGUUCUUUGAAAUUCAAAAAAAUACAAAAAAGAAUACAUAUUUUCUGUUUCUUUAUUUUUCGAUUCUGGACUGUGUUCAAGGAUGGACUUGGAUUGAAAUGUGGAUUUGAAUCCGUGUUAGGGUUGAGUCUUCCGGUGUCAAUUCGAAAUUCCAUCGGUUUUAAGCUUUCCGGCGCCGAUUCGAGUUCCGUCUGCCAUUCGUUAUAUUUUCAGUUCAAAGCAUGUGAAAUAAUUAAUUUUCAGCUAUUUGAGGUCCGUUUCUUUACUUAGCUUUAUUUGGAAUGUUGGGUUUAUUUACUGUUCACUACUAUGUGCAAUUAAAGGCAUAACUUGUCUAUUUGAGUUUGUUGAUUCGCUGUCAGCUUUUGUAUUAAGCUUGAAGUCUUUUUCUUUCUUUAUUGUUAACAUUUAUUCUUUAUUGAGUUUAAAAUAUGUCAUCAAUUUUGUUCUAUGAUGGGCAAAACAAAAAGGAAGUUUCUAUGUUUGUUGUUUGUAGAUACAAUACAGCUAGUUCCUAAAGGAUUAGAGGUUAUUGGUUAAACUGGUUUCACUGCAUUUAAAGGAAAAGAUAAAGAUGGGUAGCGCUACACAUACCCAAUAGUUCGUCAUCAUUAAUAUUUCUACUAAAAUGAAUGAAGGAAAAGAAGGCCAGAGAAUAGGAGUAUGGAUGGAAUUCUUAGUUUGAUACGAUGAGGCCAUUUUAAUAUUGUCUAUGUUCGCAGACCAUAAAUAGAGUCAAUUUCCUCGAUUUGGAAUUUAAAAAUAAACCGGUGACUUGGGACACCAUAAAUAUUCCAAGUGGCGACUCUGAAUAAAAUGAAUAAUCUCAUUUCGAUUAUUGUCACUUUAAUUGAAAAAACGUCCAUAUCCCUUAUGCGGGGUAAAAAGGAGGUGUGACAAUUCUUGCGACUCUGGUGGGGAACAAGAACCCAGAAUCUCUGGUUCAGGGUUCAAGAAUUUGAGCUUGUUAAUGUAAUUUUUACUUGGCUUUAUUUAUUGUUGAUAUUACUAUAUUUUGUGGACCUAAUGUGCUAAUUGUCGUUUAUUUACUGCUAUGAUAUUAUUUGAAUUGUAUUAAAUUGUGUUCUUACGCCUCCCUUCUGAAUCUUCUAAAAAUAUGGUGCACACGUACGCGUGGCCCACUUUUUGUUAGGAGUCAUACCAAAUAGAACAAGCCUGGAUCAGUAACUAGGCCGGAUAGACUUUCGUGCUCCCGGUAUGUUGCCGUCACAUCGGCUCUAGCUGUUCGCUCGGGUAAACCAGGUCUAGAACACAACCUCAGGUUUAAACCUAGAAUAACAUAACCUUAUGCUGAAUCCCUAGUAGGAACGUUCUUUGCAUCAUGUGCAUUAGACUUUGGGGACCUCAACACAGGGGUUGGGUCCGUCUAGGAUAGGUGUACCCAAAAAAUAAAAGAUCAUCCCGAUGCAUCUUAUGUGCUACAUGUUCCAUUCUUCAAAGGUAAAAAGGGUCAUUUGGCGGACCAAUGAUGGUUGAGGGUAAAGGAGAGAGAAAGAGGAUGAAGUGUGAAAAUAAAGCAAUUGGGGCCCAGUUAUAUUUUUCUUUCAUAUUUUUUUAAAGAAAAAGACAAAAAAUGAAAAAUCUAAAAAAAAAAAGAUCUUGCACUUUUCCAUCAUUUUUUGAAAAAAAAAAUCAAAAAAAAAGAAAAAGAAAAUCCAAAAAGAUUUUACAUGUUUCAUCAUUCUUCAAAGAAAAAAAAAGACAAAAAAUAUGUUUUCUUCAAAUUAGUGUUUUUUUUAAUUCUCUCCCAUAUCCAAUCUUCAUGAACUACGCAUGCCUGAUUCUUGUCCUUCGGGGCAGGAUAUGUAGGCAUCCCACAUAGGGUCCGGUCUUCCUAGUAAAUCUUAGGUUCUUCGCUUCGCGGGGUUUUAGCCAAAUAUUGCAUGUCUAGCCACUUUUGGCCACAUCGGCCAUACUUGUAAAAAUGGGGUCAUUUGCGCAAAAGUGGUUCAAUGACCCAUGUCUUAGAAUCUUGAGUCCACAAUUAGGUGUCAUAUUACUUUAAGGUCCGUCCAUUUUGAGUUUGCAUCUUUAGCCACUUCUGGCCACAUCGGCCAUUCUUACAAAAUGGGUCUUUUUUGCAAAUUAAUUUUGGGCCAUGAUUAUUGGGAGUUUGAAUCCACAUAAGCUUUAGUGAGGUAUUUCCAUGUCUAUGAGGUCGCCUUUGAUGAGUUUGCGCUAAUAAGCCACGUAGGUUAAUUUUUUUUAAAAAUAGCCACAAUCAUGUCUUGCAUGGGUCCAAUAGGGAGUGUUAUUGUCUCACAUAGUAUUCUAAGCCUUUAAUUCUAUUUGGUAUUAUUUUUCUCAUACAGGUGUGGAUCUACUUACCAGAGCUUGAGAAUGAUAGACGCCCCAGGACCAUCCAGUCAGGAUCACUACAUUCAAGAGUUGCUUAAGGAGAUUUUUUUUUGUUUUGAGUCUAUUUAUUAUGUUGUCUUGUACUUUAUAGUCGUGUCCAGUAGUAUUGAUUCUUUUAGUUGGUGCAAGAGUUUGUAGUAUAGUUGAGUUUGUCGAGUCUCUCAUUAUCGUACUUCCUAUGAUGUAUUUGAAACCAAAAAAUUUAUAAAUGAAAUCCAAAAGAUUUUGUUUUUAA